UAUGGGGCUAUGAUGGACGUAAAUUUUGAAGCUGUGGCCAUGUUUGAAAUGCUAACGAGGUACCGCGACCAUCCUUAGGCGUUUCUAGAGGACACGAUUGCUCUGGAGGAGAUUUUGCGGGGGCAGAAUCGGCAGUGAAGAAAAAAGAAUAAAGAAAAAAACAGAAGAAAAAAAACGGCUCUUUUAAGAGCCACCAAAUCUAUGAAAGAAUAUGAGCGGUUCGAAAUUGUGUAUAAUUUUUUUCAUGUAGGUGAAUUAUUUGCAGGGGA